rnacentral:rRNA from 1 species
AUGGCAGACAGCGAAACACCCAAUGCCGCAUCCAGCGGAAAUUUAUUACCCCCUAGCCAUGAAUCCAGCUCCAGGAUCAAUGAUGCUUUUGAGCUCUUGUGGGGACAUCGUAAAUAUUUGGUACUGCUUGGAGUCCUAGCAGUUGGUGUGACAUACAAUGCUGGAUUAACACCACCAGGGGGAUCGUGGAUACUAAACAAGGAUGGUCAUGAUGCCGGUGACCCUGUCAUGCAUGAUGGCUUUUCUGAAUGA